UUAUAAUAACAGAAAUAUUUAAUAAUUAUUAUGUAUUUAAAUUGGCUUAUACAUAGUUGGUUUUAAAAGAAAACACUGUUGGGUUUUGGUUUGUUUAGGAUUUGUUUUUUGUUAGAUAAAAUGGGCUAGAAUUGCCCAAAGAGAGCAACAAAUCUGUUAUGUCAAAAUCUAUGUUUUUGUGGCCGUUUGGUUAAAAAAAAAACAGAAAAGGGAAAGUAGAAAAAAAAUAUUUCUCGAUCCAAUUUUUCUUUGAGGAAUCGACGACACGCUAGAACUGAAAUAGAGAAUCGAUGAGAGAAUCAGUGGGUAGAUCUAUCGAUCUUGAUGGAUAGGGCGUUGGUGAAGAUUGAAACUGUUGAUUGGUGAAUGUUUCUCAUGAAUCGGGUUCACAGAUAAAGAAGAUGAAAUGGGUAAUUUGCUUACAAUUGAAAAAAGAAUUGAAUGUCAACUUAAUGGGCUUAAAAAACACGAAAAUGUCGGUCAAAAUCACCAAUGAAUGUAGGAUUUGGAAAAGACAUCGUUACAGGAGCAUACAAAGUCGUUCUGAUGUAUUUAUACGACCGCAUUGCUACUAAGACUCUUAUCAAGACCCACGUCUUUAACCUCAGCAACGGCGAACGAAGAUGCAUUUAUUUUCCCUAUGUUGAGAAUCAGUUUAACAUUGAUAAAAUAUCCACAUUUGCAAAUGGAUCUCUUUAUUGGCUGAAUAAUAACCUAACCAUUACGGCAUUGGAUCUUCAUACAGAACUGUUUUACGAGGUACUCACCAAGUUGCUUCACCAAAUACUCCAACAAAGUGUAUUUAUGGAGCCUAAAAGAUCGCUUAUGCCUAUGUGAAGUGGAAGAUUUAUCAGAUGUAGACAUAUGGGGCUUGCAACAAGAAGGUUCGAGUGUCAAGUGGGAGAAGUUUCUUUCAGAUUCUGCAUUUAGUAAGGAGUGUUUUGAGCAUCCUUAUUGGAUGACUGGCGUUUUGACUUGUUACCAGAUUUACGAGGAUGCGAGCACCGCAUUGUGUACGAAGGAUUUGGCUGCUUUGCUCUAGUUUCAUGUUUCAUUGUUUUAAAGUACAUGGUUCUUUGUAUCCCAACAAGAACAUAAUAUAUAGUAUAUGUUAUUUUGAAUUUA